GGGCCCAUAGCUCAGUUGGUUAGAGCAGAGGACUCAUAAUCCUUUGGUCCACGGUUCUUAUGUAGGGUACU
rnacentral:tRNA from 5 species